CGAAAAAGCGAAUGUCUAGAUCUUCUAGUCGGUGAGGAGUCACGUGCAGGUCGCGUGAUAGUACUGUUUUGGAAACAAGAACGUGUGAAAGGGAAGACUUCCAACAUACACGCGUCGAUCAGUGAAUGGUCUGUUAUUUUUAUUUAAUACGCAUCAAAGGAGGCUAACAUAUUUCGAUAUUUGACAAAAGAGAGAGACGACGGUGGAUGGAGGGAAAAAAAAGGGUUAUCGGCGGUCUCGGAUUCGCUUGGUGCAGGUCGGGAACUGAUUGGCUGACACCGCCACGUGGAUUUUCACGGUUGGCUUGUGAGCAGGGAUCGGAUCCUGCCUUCCAUCAACUGAAUCGGAGCCCGAGGUGAAAAUACAAAAGUUUCCAACUUUCAGAUCUGACAUUAAACCUUGUUUAGUUUUGAAGCAGGGUACUCGAUUGGCUAAUUCGGUUAGAUGUGUGAUGCCCACUCUGUUUCUAAAGGCUGUGGAUUUUGAUGUAAAAACUCUCUAAAUCCCAUAAAUGCUUUAUGGGGUUUUUCAGAAUUUCUAGGGUCUUACAUUGGCUUAGGUUCAGUGAGAUCAAUUCAACUCCUUUUCACAGGUGAGUGUUUCAUGAGUUUACCUUGAACAUUUUAAUGGACUUUCAGCUUUUCUUUUUGUUGUGUAUGGAUUGGUAUUUUGAUCAUUAUGACUGUUGUUGAUGAAUAUAUGGCUGAGAGCAUCUGUUUCUGUAUGAUGACAUAAUAAAAGCUUGAUUGAAGAGA